rnacentral:rRNA from 1 species
UACGGAGGGUGCAAGCGUUGUUCGGAAUUACUGGGCGUAAAGCGCACGUAGGCGGAUAUUUAAGUGAGGGGUGAAAUCCCAGGGCUCAACCCUGGAACUGCCUUUCAUACUGGGUAUCUCGAGUUCGAGAGAGGUGAGUGGAAUUGCGAGUGUAGAGGUGAAAUUCGUAGAUAUUCGCAGGAACACCAGUGGCGAAGGCGGCUCACUGGCUCGAUACUGACGCUGAGGUG